rnacentral:rRNA from 1 species
AUACGUAGGGGGCGAGCGUUGUCCGGAAUGAUUGGGCGUAAAGGGCACGUAGGCGGCCCGGUAAGUCUGGAGUGAAAGUCCUGUUUUUAAGAUGGGAAUUGCUUUGGAUACUGUCGGGCUUGAGUGCAGGAGAGGUAAGUGGAAUUCCCAGUGUAGCGGUGAAAUGCGUAGAGAUUGGGAGGAACACCAGUGGCGAAGGCGACUUACUGGACUGUAACUGACGCUGAGGCGCGAAAGUGUGGGGAGCAAACAGGAUUAGAUACCCCGGUAGUCCACACUGUAAACGAUGAAUGCUAGGUGUAGGGGGUAUCGACCCCUUCUGUGCCGCAGUCAACACAAUAAGCAUUCCGCCUGGGGAGUACGGCCGCAAGGUUGAAACUCAAAGGAAUUGACGGGG